rnacentral:lncRNA from 13 species
AUGAUCACUAUGUUUGAUGUACAGUUACAAGAUGACAUAGUUUCAUACCCUGGGUUGUUCAACAGAAUGAGCCUCAUUUUCCUUCUUCUCUAUUCCAGUCAUUACAUCUCCUUUUCCUGCUUCUCUUUUCCAGUCAUUACCGUCUCCUUCUCCUGCUUCUUUAUUUCAGUCAUUACAGUCUCCUUCUUUAUUCCAGUCAUUACCGUCUCCUUCUCCUGCUUCUCUAUUUCAGUCAUUACCGUCUCCUUCUCCUGCUUCUCUAUUCCAAUCAUUACCAUCUCCUUCUCUAUUCCAGUCAUUACAUCUCCUUCUCCUGCUUCUCUAUUCCAGUCAUUACAGUCUCCUUCUCUAUUCCAGUCAUUACCGUCUCCUUCUCCUGCUUCUCUAUUCCAGUCAUUACCGUCUCCUUCUCCUCUAUUCCAGUCAUUACCGUCUCCUUCUCCUGCUUCUCUAUUCCAGUCAUUACAGUCUCCUUCUCUAUUCCAGUCAUUACAUCUCCUUUUCCUGCUUCUCUACUCCAGUCAUUACUGUCUCCUCCUGCUUCUCUAUUCUAGUCAUUACGGUAAAAGGUACCGUCUUCUACAUUAGCCCAAACAGAUCAGGGAGAUGUGAGCGGGACCAUGUGGAGCUUCAGUCCUGCUCAUCAAUCUAACAGACAGACAGAUGACAGAAAGGUCAGCGAUAGCCUCACACUAUCUUUGAUCUCUCUGUGUGUGUGUGUGUGUGUGUGUGUGUGUGUGUGUGUGUUCUCGUUCCUGCACCCGGAACGUUGGGGAGGCUGGUCACGAGUGGCAACGUUUCAGCAUGACCAGGUUUAUUUGUGUUGUGUUCAGAGGGAACCGGCCCUGACAGCUGGCGCAGGCAGGAAGAGUGGAGCCACAACAAGUCCCCCACCCGACAACAAAAUGUCAUCCUUCCCCUGGCUGCCUCCCUCCUCACCCUCGCCAAUCCAGCCGUCCUGCUGAAAAGAGCAGACAUUUAAAACUUUGUGACAUGUGUCAAAGGCACUGCCAUUGAGCCAGUGCUGCUGACGGAGCUGGGAUUGACAGGCCGGGAGCCACCGGAGCUGGCUGGAGGACACACCGAGUUUGGUUUGUGUCACUUCCCAUCCUCGUCAGCGCACAGCCGCAUCCCCAGCACACAAACUACUGCAUUAUGGGAUGGGCAGGGCGGCAGGGUGUAGACAUCUGUCUUACUGACACGUGCUAGUGAGAGAGAGUGUGUGUGUACGUGUGUGUGUGCACUCUGGCAACCAGGGGAAUGAAUUCCAGCUGCAGACUCUUUGACUGAGCUCCACACCACACAACUCACACUGUCUCAGUACUGUGAUCAGAGGAGUGCUGAGUCCUUCACAGAUUACCUUGUGAGAGAUACAGACCUUUAGAUGUUACCUACAUAGACACAUGGUUGAAGCUAUGGCCCUUCAGAGAUAUAGGAUGGAGUCUAGUGCCCUUAACAGCUUACCUUCUGAGGGAUAGGGCCCUUUACAUACAGGUGUGUGUUAGAGAAUAGUUAGGGGAUAAUUAUUUGAAUGGCUCUAUCACAUGAUUUCUAGUUACACGCUUGUUAUACAACUUCACCCUUGAACCUAUAAUGCACAGCUGUAUUGGGCAAUGUAAGCAACAUACGGUCCAAUAACUUGCCUUUGCUACUGUCUGUGUUGAGCGUUAGUCAUGUACAGUGGGGAGAACAAGUAUUUGAUACACUGCCGAUUUGGCAGGUUUUCCUACUUACAAAGCAUGUAGAGGUCUGUAAUUUUUAUCAUAGGUACACUUCAACUGUGAGAGACGGAAUAUAAAACAAAAAUCCAGAAAAUCACAUUGCAUGAUUUUUAAGUAAUUAAUGUGCAUUUUAUUGCAUGACAUAAGUAUUUGAUACAUCAGAAAAGCAAAACUUAAUAUUUGAUACAGAAACCUUUGUUUGCAAUUACAGAGAUCAUACGUUUCCUGUAGUUCUUGACCAAGUUUGCACACACUGCAGCAGGGAUUUUGGCCCACUCCUCCAUACAGACCUUCUCCAGAUCUUUCAGGUUUCGGGGCUGUCGCUGGGCAAUACGGACUUUCAGCUCCCUCCAAAGAUGUUCUAUUGGGUUCAGGUCUGGAGACUGGCUAGGCCAUCCAGGACCUUGAGAUGCUUCUUACGGAGCCACUCCUUAGUUGCCAUGGCUGUGUGUUUUGGGUCGUUAUCAUGCUGGAAGACCCAGCCACGACCCAUCUUCAAUGCUCUUACUGAGGGAAGGAGGUUGUUGGCCAAGCUCUUGCGAUACAUGGCCCCAUCCAUCCUCCCCUCAAUACGGUGCAGUCGUACUGUCCCCUUUGCAGAAAAGCACCCCCAAAGAAUGUUUCCACCUCCAUGCUUCAUGGUUGUGAUGGUGUUCUUGGGGUUGUACCUUCUUCCUCCAAACACGACGAGUGGAGUUUAGACCAAAAAGCUUUAUUUUUGUCUCAUCAGCCCACAUGACCUCCUCCCAUUCCUCCUCUGGAUCAUCCUGAUGGUCAUUGGCAAACUUCAGAUGGGCCUGGACAUGCGCUGGCUUGAGCAGGGGGACCUUGCGUGCGCUGCAGGAUUUUAAUCCAUGACGGUGUAGUGUGUUACUAAUGGUUUUCUUUGAGACUGUGGUCCCAGCUCUCUUCAGGUCAUUGACCAGGUCCUGCCGUGUAGUUCUGGGCUGAUCCCUAACCUUCCCCAUGAUCAUUGAUGCCCCACGAGAUGAGAUCUUGCAUGGAGCCCCAGACUGAGGGUGAUUGACCGUCAUCUUGAACUUCUUCCAUUUUUUUUGUUUUUUGUUUUUACCCCAGUUUUCUCCCCAAAUUCGUGGUAUCCAAUUGUUUAGUAGCUACUAUCUUGUCUCAUCGCUACAACUCCCGUACGGGCUCGGGAGAGACGAAGGUUGAACGUCAUGCGUCCUCCGAUACACAACCCAACCAAGCCGCACAGCGCCAUCCAUCCCGGAAGCCAGCCGCACCUAUGUGUCGGAGGAAACACCGUGCACCUGGCAACCUUGGUUAGCGCACACUGUGCCCGGCCCGCCACAGGAGUCGCUGGUGCGCGAUGAGACAAGGAUUUCCCUACCGGCCAAACCCUCCCUAACCCGGAUGACGCUAGGUCAAUUGUGCAUCGCCCCACAGACCUCCUGGUCGCGUCCGGUUACAACAGAGCCUGGGCGCGAACCCAGGGUCUCUGGUGGCACAGCUGGCGCUGCAGUACAGCACCCUUAACCACUGCACCACCCGGGAGGCCGAACUUCUUCCAUUUUUAAUAAUUGCGCCAACAGUUGUUGCCUUCUCACCAAGCUGCUUGCCUAUUGUCCUGUAGCCCAUCCCAGCCUUGUGCAGGUCUACAAUUUUAUCCCUGAAGUCCUUACACCCUCUCUGGUCUUGGCUAUUGUGGAGAGGUUGGAGUCUGCUUGAUUGAGUGUGUGGACAGGUGUCUUUUAUACAGGUAACGAGUUCAAACAGGUGCAGUUAAUACAGGUAAUGAGUGGAGAACAGGAGGGCUUCUUAAAGACAAACUAACAGGUCUGUGAGAGCCGGAAUUCUUACUGGUUGGUAGGUGAUCAAAUACUUAUGUCAUGCAAUAAAAUGCAAAUUAAUUACUUAAAAAUCAUACAAUGUGAUUUUCUGGAUUUUUGUUUUAGAUUCUGUCUCUCACAGUUGAAGUGUACCUAUGAUAAAAAUUACAGACCUCUACAUGCUUUGUAAGUAGGAAAACCUGCAAAAUCG